CAUAGGAGUCCUUUAUCUUGUGCCUUUUUUUUCUUUAUUUUCCAGAUGGGGCCCAAUCGGUCUCAAGGCGUAGCGGCUCAGCAGGGAGACGAGCGAGGUGAUACACAACCCUUUACCCGUCUGCUGAAGGUGCCGGAGGUCCAUCCUAUAAGAGGUCAAGCUAAAGGAGCCCAAGAUAGCCAGUAUGAGGCAGUACAUCAGCACAAGCCUCCAUAUCUGGGUUGUCUUGCAGCGGCCGUCUGUCCACUUCACAGGGCGAUCUUGGGAGCAGCUGAAGAGAGAGGAGCUUUCU